GAUGAAGAACGUAGCGAAAUGCGAUACGUAGUGUGAAUUGCAGAAUUCAGUGAAUCAUCGUAUCUUUGAACGCACAUUGCACCUCUCGGUAUUCCGGGAGGUAUGCCUGUUCGAGCGUCAUUUGUACCCUCAAGCUCUGCUUGGUGUUGGGUGUUUGUUCCGCCUCUGUGUGUGAACUCGCCUCAAAACAAUUGGCAGCCGGCGUACUUGUUUCGGAGCGCAGCACAUUUUGCGAUCCAGAUCAACGUACAGCGGCAUCCAAGAAGCCUUAUUUAACGCUCUUGACCUCGGAUCAGGUAGGGAUACCCGCUGAACUUAAGCAUAUCAAUAAGCGGAGGA
rnacentral:misc_RNA from 1 species